rnacentral:rRNA from 1 species
UACAGAGGGUGCGAGCGUUAAUCGGAAUUACUGGGCGUAAAGCGUGCGUAGACGGUUAUGUAAGUUAGGUGUGAAAGCCCCGGGCUCAACCUGGGAAUUGCAUUUGAGACUGCAUAGCUAGGGUGCGGAAGAGGGAAGCGGAAUUUCCGGUGUAGCGGUGAAAUGCGUAGAUAUCGGAAGGAACAUCAGUGGCGAAAGCGGCUUCCUGGUCCAGCACCGACGUUCAGGCACGAAAGCGUGGGGAGCAAACAGG